rnacentral:sRNA from 1 species
UAGCUCAGUUGGUAGAGCAGUUGACUUUUAAUCAAUUGGUCGCAGGUUCGAAUCCUGCACGACCCACCAAUAUACAAGGUGGUAACUGGUAUAGAACGUGAAGGAUAACGUUGCUUUAGCAACGGCGCCGAAGGGCGAGGCGAAGCCGAGUCAUCCUGCACGACCCACCA